UUUCCCUCUCUCUUCUUUCUAGCAAGUCAACAAGAUUUUCUGUGCGCUUACCAUUCAGUCGAUUGCUCUUCUAGGCAUUUAUUUCUUCUUGUCUCAGAAGAUUUCUCUCUAGAGGACAGUCGUGGUCAGUUUCCCAUCUUCCUUCCUUUAUGCUUAUCCUUCAUCUUUAUCUGUCCCUUUCAUGUCUUUCUCUCCUUCACGAUCUUUCUCACAUGCAUACACAGAUGGAAGAACCAAUCAUAGAGGCAAUUCUACUUUUGUUGUUGCCACACAAAGGAGAGGAUGGAUGGUGGUCGCCGGGGUUUGGUGGGCUCUGGUUGGUGUGGAUCUGCAGAAGGAGCUCGCCGAGUAGCAGCUUGGGCCGACCGCCGGGUUCAAGUACAAGAUCUCCGAUGACCUCCAAGGUCCAGCGAAUCCCAAGGUCUAUUCCAUUCUCACUUUUACUUCCUGUGGAUGGAUAAACUGGGAUUUCUCUUUUUUGUACAGCCUUCUAUUCUUGAUUUCGGAGAACAAAUUCCAGUUUCCUUUUUCUAGAUAUAUUCUUUGUGAUGCUCUCCCUUUUCCUGAUGUGUUGCUUCGUUUCUUCCGUUGCUUCUUAGAUUGUGUUUUCUUGUCUCACUUCUUGAUGGAAAACUGAAUCUCAGAUCGGCUGCAGCUUGGCCAGCUGAUUCUCCUGUUGCAUGCUUCUUCAGUUCUUCUCAUGGUGCUUCUUAUGCGCAUCCUGCUAGCCUUGAUGGGGUCAUCUCUCGACGGUUGGAGAUCCGUUUUGGUAAGAGACCUGCUUCUUCUUCACCUGGUAUGUGUUGCUUCUUGUGUACUCUCUUCUUUUGGUUGCAUCCUAGGAGCUCCUUGGUGCACUUUCCUGCCAUGGCUUUACCGGUUGUUGUCUCCUCUACAUCUGAUGCGUCUUCAACGAUGUGCAGAUAGUGCACCAAUCAGGGUUUUUGUUGCUUUCUGUUGUUGUUCCCCCUGCAGUCGUUGUGCCUUUUAGAUGAUGCGUCGUCGGACGUGGGCUCGCUGUUGCCUUCUCCUAUGGCAGUGUUUGUUGUGCAGCAGGAACCGUGUCGCCAUAUAGAUUUUCCGUGGGAAGCAUCCAUAGGUGGAUACUGAAGGUGCUUUUCCGUGCUUUGAUUUGCCGCGCAUAAGUAUUUGUAUGCGUUUGCAUACUGCUUAUACUAGGCUCGUUGUUGUUGGGUCUUUCUUCCAUGCUUUCUGCUCUGCGGGUUGAGUUCCGUUCCAAUUAAGUCAGGCAAUUUCUUCUAUGUUCGAUUUCUUCUUCCUCUUUGGGUCCCUGCACCCGCUGCUUGCGGCUUAGCAAUUACUCUCUCCUUUGAGUGGCUUUUGUUCUUCCUUUCAAAUGCUUUACCACAAUUUACUGUGUUAGCUGCAUGGAAUAAAAAUAAAUUUGUAAAUAGUAAUUAAUGAACCUACCAGGCAGGUUUGACAAUGUUUACUCGUGAAAUUUUAGCGUUUCCUUGCUUCGCCUGUAGUAGGCUCUCUUCCUCGUGUGUUUCUUACGCAGCUCCUUUAGGUUUGUUUCUAGCUUGUUUUAUAUAUCUGUUUUCAGGUGAUGUUUUGUAUUCCUGUUUGUUGCUGCUAUUCUUUUAUUGUCCUUGAAUAAGCUUUUCUUUUGUGUGGCAUGCUUAUACCAUUUUGUGCUUCGGCUAUUGUUCACCUUCCUACUAAGAAAGAACAUUUUUGGCCUACUUCAAAAUUUUAUGCUUUUGCUACGUGAUUUCUGAUUCAUUAAUUUCCUUUCCAUAAGUACAGAUUGUUAUAGGCGCAUGCAGUUGCCUAUAUCGACAGAGUUUAUUGACCUCCUUAAAGAUUGGUUCUUAUUCUAUUCAUCAUAUAUAUGUUCUUUCCUUCUUGUUCAAUUACUAGUGCACGACGUUUCUUGUUCUUAAUUUUUCCAACAUAUAUGUUUGUUUUCUUUUUAUUUAGUUGAUGUUAGUUGAUGCUUCGUGCUGACUUGAAGUUUGCUGUGGCUUUUUUCAUGUUUGUUUUCCUCAUAAUUUGAGACUGGUUUUAAUCAGAUAGUUGUUUGCAUGUGAGGAAUGAUAGUAUACAUUUUGCGAACCAUAUGUCUCAAGAUUAGUUGUUCACAUACCCAACAGGAACAGAACAAUAUAUCAUGAAGACACCCACUUGCAGGAAUUGGUCGACAGUCCUUCAAGAUAUAAUACUAUGCAUACCAAUUGGUUUAGUGUGGAAUCAGAUCCAUGCUGAUGCAUCAGCAUUUAAUAUAAGUUCAAUAGAGAGUGGCCGAUAAGUGGGCUAUCUGUUGCUAGUGGGCUGAAUAAUGCCAGAUCCUAAGAGAAAAAUGGAGAGAAGGAUGGCCACAACCCAGUACGGCCCACCUGACCCGAUGCCAGUGUUCAGGAGUAGCUUCAUUGUUGCCCCCAGUCGUACUGGUCAUUCUCAUUUGUUCUUUCGAACAUUUGGUGUUAAAUUUUGGCAAUGUCACCGUACCUUCUACUACAAGAGGAGAUUAUUUGCUCAUCAGAAGAUCCAGCUUAAGCUUGGUGUGCCUAUUAUGUUAUUGAGGACUAUUUAUCAGUCAAUGGGUCUAUGCAAUGGGACACAUUUGAUUGUAACACAACUAGGUGAUUGGGUUCCUGAGGCAGAGAUUCGUACUGGCAGUCACAUUCGUCAACAUACUUGCAUUCCACAUAUUGUGCUAAAUAUAUGCUCUUGCUUCAAGGUAGACUUUUACUUUGCAAUGUUGGCAGUAUCAAAUACGUCUUAAAUUUUUAUGCAAUGACAAUCGAUAAGAGUCAAGGACAAACUCUUCAUAGAGUUACUUUCUCAAUUUAAUUUGCUACUGUAAUUAGACAUAUCAGAUUGUUUCUUACAGUUUCCCUCCUCUUGGCAAGUACUUUUCCCGCUCUUUUAGUGCCAUGAACAGUUCAUGUAUGCUAAUUACCUCCUAUAGAAAACGUCAGUUUGAUGGGCUAUGUCCAAGCUUUUGAUUUA